rnacentral:rRNA from 1 species
UACAGAGGUCUCAAGCGUUGUUCGGAUUCAUUGGGCGUAAAGGGUGCGUAGGUGGUGCUGUAAGUCAGGUGUGAAAUCCCGGGGCUCAACCCCAGAACUGCACUUGAUACUGCAGUGCUCGAGGACUGGAGAGGAGAUCGGAAUUCAUGGUGUAGCAGUGAAAUGCGUAGAUAUCGAGAGGAACACCUGCGGCGAAGGCGGGUUGCUGGGCUGACACUGACGCUGAUGCGCGAAAGCCAGGGGAGCAAACGGG